AGAGUUUGAUCCUGGCUCAGGAUGAACGCUAGCGGCAGGCUUAACACAUGCAAGUCGAGGGGUAACAGGGAUUGCUUGCAAUCCGCUGACGACCGGCGCACGGGUGCGUAACGCGUAUGCAACCUACCUUCUACAGGGGGAUAGUCAAUAGAAAUGUUGAAUAAUACCCCAUACGAUCAUUAAUCUGCAUGGAUUGAUGAAGAAAGUUCCGGCGGUAGAAGAUGGGCAUGCGUCCUAUUAGUUAGUUGGUAAGGUAACGGCUUACCAAGACAUCGAUAGGUAGGGGUCCUGAGAGGGAGAUCCCCCACACUGGUACUGAGACACGGACCAGACUCCUACGGGAGGCAGCAGUGAGGAAUAUUGGACAAUGGAGGCAACUCUGAUCCAGCCAUGCCGCGUGCAGGAAGACUGCCCUAUGGGUUGUAAACUGCUUUUAUACAGGAAGAAUAGUACCUACGUGUAGGUAUUUGACGGUACUGUACGAAUAAGGAUCGGCUAACUCCGUGCCAGCAGCCGCGGUAAUA
rnacentral:rRNA from 1 species